AACGAACGCUGGCGGCAGGCCUAACACAUGCAAGUCGAACGAACUCUUCGGAUCUAGUGGCGGACGGGUGAGUAACACGUGGGAAUGUGCCCUUCUGUUCGGAAUAACUCUGGGAAACUUGGACUAAUACCGUAUACGCCCUACUGGGGAAAGAUUUAUCGGCUUUAGAGCGGCCCGCGUCUGAUUAGCUAGUUGGUGAGGUAAAGGCCUACCAAGGCGACGAUCAGUAGCUGGUCUGAGAGGAUGAUCAGCCACAUUGGGACUGAGACACGGCCCAAACUCCUACGGGAGGCAGCAGUGGGGAAUCUUGCGCAAUGGGCGAAAGCCUGACGCAGCCAUGCCGCGUGAAUGAUGAAGGUCUUAGGAUUGUAAAAUUCUUUCACCGGGGACGAUAAUGACGGUACCCGGAGAAGAAGCCCCGGCUAACUUCGUG
rnacentral:rRNA from 1 species